rnacentral:rRNA from 1 species
UUGACCACGGAUCAGGUAGGGAUACCCGCUGAACUUAAGCAUAUCAAUAAGCGGAGGA